UCUUUUGGCCAUCGAGCCAGAUAAAUUUAAAUUUAUUGGGCUCCGAAUCUGUCCGAGUGGAGUUAAUCCAUGCAAAUCAGAAGCCCUGGCUGUCCAUGCUUGAUUCACAAAGAGGACUCAGCUACAGGAGGUCACUGGUUCCCAGCUGCUCCUCCCAUUAUAUUUUCUUCCCCCCCUUAUUGCAGAACUGCUAUAUGUAUACAGGGACUGAAAGGAUCCAAUUUACUGCAACUGCUGCCUGGCUUUUACUUACAACUUUGUUUGAAGGAACUUACCUUCCAUCUGUCUUUGCAAGCCCCAGCCAUAAUUGGAAAAUCACCUUUGUAUUGAAGAAAAACAUUGGGAAAAUGCCAGCUGAGAGAGUAACCAUAUCUGACAGCAUACAUUGUAUUAAGACAUCGAUAGACCCCAACUUCCCUACUGAUAUAAGUAAGAAAUGUACAUUUCAUUAAUUAA
rnacentral:lncRNA from 1 species